UGGGGAAUAUUGGACAAUGGGGGCAACCCUGAUCCAGCAAUGCCGCGUGAGUGAUGAAGGCCUUAGGGUCGUAAAGCUCUUUUACCAGGGAUGAUAAUGACAGUACCUGGAGAAUAAGCUCCGGCUAACUCC
rnacentral:rRNA from 1 species